AUUGAACGCUGGCGGCAUGCCUAACACAUGCAAGUCGAACGGCAGCACAGCAGUAGCAAUACUGUGGGUGGCGAGUGGCGGACGGGUGAGGAAUACAUAGGAAUCUACCUCGUUGUGGGGGAUAACGUAGGGAAACUUACGCUAAUACCGCAUACGACCGAGAGGUGAAAGUGGGGGACCGCAAGGCCUCACGCGAUGAGAUGAGCCUAUGUCUGAUUAGCUAGUUGGCGGGGUAAAGGCCCACCAAGGCGACGAUCGGUAGCUGGUCUGAGAGGAUGAUCAGCCACACUGGAACUGAGACACGGUCCAGACUCCUACGGGAGGCAGCAGUGGGGAAUAUUGGACAAUGGGCGCAAGCCUGAUCCAGCAAUGCCGCGUGUGUGAAGAAGGCCCUCGGGUUGUAAAGCACUUUUGUACGGGAAGAAAACCCAUUUAUUAAUACUGGAUGGGAA
rnacentral:rRNA from 1 species